GACGAACGCUGGCGGCGUGCCUAAUACAUGCAAGUCGAGCGCAGGAAACUGACGGAACUCUUCGGAGGGAAGGCAGUGGAAUGAGCGGCGGACGGGUGAGUAACACGUAAGGAACCUGCCUCAAGGAUUGGGAUAACUCCGAGAAAUCGGAGCUAAUACCGGAUAGUUCAACGGACCGCAUGGUCCGCUGAUGGAAGGCGCUCCGGCGUCACCUUGAGAAGGCCUUGCGGUGCAUUAGCUAGUUGGUGGGGUAACGGCCCACCAAGGCGACGAUGCAUAGCCGACCUGAGAGGGUGAUCGGCCACACUGGGACUGAGACACGGCCCAGACUCCGACGGGAGGCAGCAGUAGGGAAUCUUCCACAAUGGACGAAAGUCUGAUGGAGCAACGCCGCGUGAGUGAUGAAGGUUUUCGGAUCGUAAAACUCUGUUGUAAGGGAAGAACACGUACGAGAGGAAAUGCUCGUACCUUGACGGUACCUUACGAGAAAGCCACGGCUAACUACGUGCCAGCCGCCGCCGUAA
rnacentral:rRNA from 1 species